UACGUGAGGUGGCAAGCGUUGUCCGGAUUUACUGGGCGUAAAGGGCGCGUAGGCGGCCACCGCAAAGUCGGUUGUGAAAUCUCCGGGCUUAACCCGGAAAGGUCAAUCGAUACUGCGGGCUAGAGUUCGGUAGGGGAGACGUGGAAUUCCUGGUGUAGCGGUGAAAUGCGCAGAUAUCAGGAGGAACACCGGUGGCGAAGGCGGGUCUCUGGGCCGAUACUGACGCUGAGGAGCGAAAGCGUGGGGAGCGAACAGG
rnacentral:rRNA from 1 species